rnacentral:rRNA from 1 species
AUUGAACGCUGGCGGCAUGCCUUACACAUGCAAGUCGAACGGUAACGGGCCUUCGGGUGCCGACGAGUGGCGAACGGGUGAGUAAUGCAUCGGAACGUACCUUUCAGUGGGGGAUAACGUAGCGAAAGUUACGCUAAUACCGCAUAUUCUGUGAGCAGGAAAGCAGGGGAUCGCAAGACCUUGCGCUGAUUGAGCGGCCGAUGUCAGAUUAGCUAGUUGGUGAGGUAAAGGCUCACCAAGGCGACGAUCUGUAGCGGGUCUGAGAGGAUGAUCCGCCACACUGGAACUGAGACACGGUCCAGACUCCUACGGGAGGCAGCAGUGGGGAAUUUUGGACAAUGGGGGGCAACCCUGAUCCAGCCAUGCCGCGUGAGUGAAGAAGGCCUUCGGGUUGUAAAGCUCUUUCGGUCCGGGAAGAAAUACGCAUGGGCUAAUACCCUGUGCGGAUGACGGUACCGGCAUAAGAAGCACCGGCUAACUACGUAGCCAGCAGCCGCGGUAAUC